AUUGAACGCUGGCGGCAUGCCUUACACAUGCAAGUCGAACGGCAGCACGGGAGCAAUCCUGGUGGCGAGUGGCGAACGGGUGAGUAAAGCGUCGGAACGUGCCCAGUCGUGGGGGAUAACGUAGCGAAAGCCACGCUAAUACCGCAUACGAUCUGUGGAUGAAAGCGGGGGACCGUAAGGCCUCGCGCGAUUGGAGCGGACGAUGUCAGAUUAGGUAGUUGGUGAGGUAAAGGCACACCAAGCCGACGAUCUGUAGCUGGUCUGAGAGGACGACCAGCCAGACUGGGACUGGGACAGGGCCCAGGCGCCUACGGGAGGCAGCAGUGGGGAAAUGUGGACAAUGGGCGCAAGCCUGAUCCAGCAACGCCGCGUGCAGGAUGAAGGCCUUCGGGUUGUAAACUGCUUUUGUACGGAGCGAAACGGCUUCCACUAAUACUGGGGGCUAAUGACGGUACCGUAAGAAUAAGCACCGGCUAACUACGUGCCAGCCGCCGCAGUAAGAC
rnacentral:rRNA from 1 species